rnacentral:rRNA from 1 species
CACGUAGGGUGCGAGCGUUGUCCGGAAUUAUUGGGCGUAAAGAGCUCGUAGGCGGUGUGUCGCGUCGGCCGUGAAAACCUGCAGCUUAACUGUGGGCUUGCGGUCGAUACGGGCAUCACUGGAGUUCGGCAGGGGAGACUGGAAUUCCUGGUGUAGCGGUGAAAUGCGCAGAUAUCAGGAGGAACACCGGUGGCGAAGGCGGGUCACUGGCCCGAUACUGACGCUGAGGCACGAAAGCGUGGGGAGCAAACAGG